GCCAGGCGCUGUGGCGCGUGCCUGUAGUCCCAGCUACUCGGGAGGCUGAGGCUGGAGGAUCGCUUGAGUCCAGGAGUUCUGGGCUAUAGUGCGCUAUGCUGAUCGGUGUCCGCACUAAGUUUGGCAUCAGUAUGGUGACCUACCAGGAGCAGGGGACCACCAGGUUGCUUAAGGAGGGGUGAACCAGCCCAGGUCAGAAACGGAGCAAGUCAAAACUCCCAUGCUGAUCAGUAGUGGGAUCACGCCUGUGAAUAGUCACUGCACUCCACCCUGGGCAACAUAGCGAGACCCCAUCUCU
rnacentral:SRP_RNA from 1 species